rnacentral:sRNA from 1 species
GGCACCUGAUCGGGGCUCACGAAGUGCACGUGCGUGUCAAUGCCGCCUGCGGUGAGGAUCUUGCCCUCGCCCGCGAUGAUGUCGGUGGCAACGCCGAUGGUGAUGGUCACGCCCCGGGAAAUCUGGGGGUUGCCGGCCUUGCCGAUUUUGAAGAUGUGUCCGUCGCGCAGAGCCACAUCGGCUUUGUAGAUGCCGGUGUAGUCGAGCACGAUCACGUUCGUGAUCACGGUGUCCGGGAUGUCGUCGUCCCGGACCAGCUGCCCGUUCUGGCCCAUACCGUCGCGGAU